GAGGGUAUAGCUCAGUGGUAGAAUGCCUGCGUAGGAUGCAGGAGUUCUGGGUUCAAUCCCCAGUACCUCG
rnacentral:tRNA from 1 species